UACAGAGGUCCCAAGCGUUGUUCGGAUUCACUGGGCGUAAAGGGUGCGUAGGCGGUUGGGUAAGUCUGAUGUGAAAUCUCACAGCUUAACUGUGAAACUGCAUUGGAUACUAUCCGGCUAGAGGAAUGGAGGGGAGACUGGAAUACUUGGUGUAGCAGUGAAAUGCGUAGAUAUCAAGUGGAACACCAGUGGCGAAGGCGAGUCUCUGGACAUUUCCUGACGCUGAGGCACGAAAGCCAGGGGAGCAAACGGG
rnacentral:rRNA from 1 species